GUGGUUAGAAGACGAUGUGGAUUUUUGGAUGAUAGGAAAGGUGGUGGU
rnacentral:guide_RNA from 1 species